rnacentral:misc_RNA from 1 species
CCUAAAUGUAAUACUUUGCAGAAAACAAAACUUUCUAUAUCCUAUUUGUUAGAAAUUACUAGCAGAAUAAUAAAAUUAUAAGGUAUAAGUGGUGGAAAAAAUGUCUACGCAGGAUUAUUUAACCAAAACAAUGAGUUUUUUUAUAGGAAUCUCCUCCUCCUCCUUAAGCUCUUUGAAGAAGCUCUAGAGACCAAAUAGCCCACCCCCACCCCAAGGCACAUCACCCAUAUCCCUACAUCUACUGCCCACCCAACUCCCUCCGCCGUAUCGGUGUCGUCCGAAUCGUCUUCUUCACCUUCACACUCCGAGCAGCAACAAGUAGACUCGUCAUUUUCAACUUCUCUUUGUUCAGGAAUCUCCUCCAGCUUCUGAAAACAGCUCCUCCGCCGUGAUCUCACCGUCAUCUCCACCUUCUCAGUAAUCACUUCCGGCGGCGCGGCGGUGCGUCCUUCCACCGCCACACACACCUCUGCUCCUUUCACUUUUAAAUCGUCGUUUUCCAACAAAGCGCACUUGCAAUCGAUUCUCCAGUUGUGUAGAUCUUUCAUGAAAAUACCUUUUAUGAGCUUUACAUCAGCCAUGAAUAUUUCAAAUUUUACUCCUUCACUGGCUUUAACUCUGUCCCUGCUUCCGUAAAUAACACCUUUCGUUGUUACAUUGUCAGCUGAUACUACCCGGUAAAGCGUAACGAAACCGGGGGAAUUGGAUCGGAUUUUGGAAUCAUUAAUCUCUAAUGGACUCUCACUAAUUCUAGGGAGAUAAUGCAGAGUUAGAGAAUCCGGUGAGACGGUUUCAGUCGGUGAUAAAUGGAGAUAAAAGCCUUUGAUUUUCAGGCGAUCUUUCUCGUUUGGUUGAAAUCCUUUACACAUUUUUGCUAGUUGAUUGGAAUGAAUUACUCGUGAGGAAAGGAAGGGAGGG